rnacentral:rRNA from 1 species
UACGGAGGAUGCAAGCGUUAUCCGGAUUUAUUGGGCGUAAAGCGUCCGUAGGUGGCAAUUCAAGUCUGCAGUUAAAGACCGGGGCUUAACUCCGGAGUGGCUGUGGAAACUGAAUAGCUAGAGUGCGGUAGGGGUAGAGGGAAUUCCCGGUGUAGCGGUGAAAUGCGUAGAGAUCGGGAAGAACACCGGUGGCGAAAGCGCUCUACUGGGCCUGCACUGACACUGAGGGACGAAAGCUAGGGGAGCGAAUGG